GACGUAGGAGGCGAGCGUUAUCCGGAUUCACUGGGCGUAAAGCGCAUGUAGGCGGAUGUCUAAGUCGUGUGUUAAAGCCCCUGGCUCAACUGGGGGAGGUCAUGCGAGACUGGAUGACUUGAGGGCAACAGAGGCACGUGGAACUCCCGGUGUAGCGGUGGAAUGCGUAGAGAUCCGGAGGAAGACCGGUGGCGAAGGCGGCCUGCUGGGCAGUUACUGACACUGAGGCGCGACAGCGUGGGGAGCAAACAGG
rnacentral:rRNA from 1 species